UACGUAGGGUGCAAGCGUUGUCCGGAUUUAUUGGGCGUAAUGAGCUCGUAGGCGGUCUGUCGCGUCGGAUGUGAAAACCCAGGGCUCAACCCUGGGCCUGCAUUCGAUACGGGCAGACUAGAGUGUGGCAGGGGAGACUGGAAUUCCUGGUGUAGCGGUGAAAUGCGUAGAUAUCGGAAGGAACACCAGUGGCGAAAGCGGCUUCCUGGUCCGACACCGACGUUCAGGCACGAAAGCGUGGGGAGCAAACAGG
rnacentral:rRNA from 1 species